AGGCAACCUUCCUUGCAGCCAUGAUGAAAAUGGCGGCAGGUUUAUCGAUAAGUCUUAAAAGUUGGAUGAAAAUUGGAUGCAAUGCCCUCCUUGAGCAUCAAUGCAGAUUUCAUGCACCAUCAAAAAUUGUGCCCAUCAUCUUGGCAAAGCAAAAUAAGAAAAUAGAUCCUGAUCUUAGAAGUCAGUUUUUUACACAUGAAAAUCCGUUAUUUGUUUCACACAAUGGUUGGAAACUGGGUGCCUUCAAAUACAAGGAAAUAGUGGAACCAUUGCUAGAUAAUACGUGUAAAUAUAAAGAUCCUGAAAUAUAUCCAUUUGGAGUUCCAGCAGAACCUCUUCGGAAUUUAAUUGAACUUCCAUCCAUUUUCAAUGUAAGCGAGGAAGUUGUUAUUGAAGAUAAAGGCAAAAGAGAAGAGUUGUUAAUGGGUAGCCUCAUCAAGAAACGAAGAAAAAAGAUGAACAAACAUAAGUACAAGAAACGCAUUCAUCGAGAUAUUGCCAAAAUAAGAAAAGUCCGGCAUUUCAGAUUGAAAAAGAAAAGGGGAAGACAAGCUCACAAGAAAAGGCUCCUCAUAAAAAAACUCACAAAUGUUUUAGAAAAGAAUCCCAAAUCAGACUUAAUCAGUAGGCCAUAUGUAAUUUAUCGUUUGAAGAACUGGUAGCUUGUAGAGCGUUCAAAAAGUUGAAGAAUUAUCAAUACUUUUUUACAG